GUAAAUUCUCAGGGCGGGGUGUAACUCCCCACCGGCGGUGAUAGUACUCGAUUCGAUUUAAUAAUCUAACUCAAGUCUUAAGCCCGCGAGCGCCCAAGCAAGCUUAUAUUGAUAAAUAUGAGCAGCCUGGGGUCAGCAGAUCUGGUGCCUUUUACCCUAUGUAAAACAUCCCAGAGCCGACGGUAAUGAACUUUCUAUUAAUAGCCACCAGCUUAAGUAGUCAGUCUGAGUCCGGAUGAGAGAGAAUGUAA
rfam:Shewanella violacea DSS12 DNA, complete genome.